rnacentral:rRNA from 1 species
AGAGUUUGAUCCUGGCUCAGGGUGAACGCUGGCGGUGCGCCUAAUGCAUGCAAGUCGAGCGAACCUGUGACUUCGGUCACACAUAGGUUAGCGGCAGACGGCUGAGUAACACGUGAGUAACUUGCCUUUUGGUGGGGUAUAGCCCAGAGAAAUCUGGAUUAAUCCCGCAUAAGAUCUUAGAACCCUGGUUCUUUGAUGAAAGCCUUCGGGCGCCGAAAGAGAGGCUCGCGGACUAUCAGGUAGUUGGUAGGGUAAUGGCCUACCAAGCCUAAGACGGUUAGCUGGUCUGAGAGGAUGAUCAGUCAGAGGGGGACUGAGACACGGCCCCCACUCCUACGGGAGGCAGCAGCAGGGAAUCUUGGGCAAUGGACGAAAGUCUGACCCAGCGACAUCGCGUGGGGGAUGAAGGCCUUAGGGUUGUAAACUCCUUUUAUAAGAGAAGAGUAAGGACGGUACCUUAUGAAUAAGCCCCGGCUAACUACGUGCCAGCAGCCGCGGUAAUACGUAGGGGGCGAGCGUUACCCGGAAUCACUGGGCGUAAAGAGAGCGUAGGCGGUUUGGAAAGUCAUUUGUGAAAGCUCCUGGCUCAACUAGGAGAGGUCAAGUGAAACUUCCUGACUUGAGGACGGUAGAGGUAAGCGGAAUUCUUGGUGUAGCGGUGAAAUGCGUAGAUAUCAAGAAGAACACCAGAGGCGAAGGCGGCUUACUGGGCCGUUUCUGACGCUGAGGCUCGAGAGCGUGGGUAGCAAACAGGAUUAGAUACCCUGGUAGUCCACGCC